rnacentral:rRNA from 1 species
CCUACGGGGUGCAGCAGUGAGGAAUAUUGGUCAAUGGACGAGAGUCUGAACCAGCCAAGUAGCGUGAAGGAUGACUGCCCUAUGGGUUGUAAACUUCUUUUAUAAAGGAAUAAAACGAGGCACGUGUGCCUUUUUGCAUGUACUUUAUGAAUAAGGAUCGGCUAACUCCGUGCCAGCAGCCGCGGUAAUACGGAGGAUCCGAGCGUUAUCCGGAUUUAUUGGGUUUAAAGGGAGCGUAGAUGGGGUGUUAAGUCAGUUGUGAAAGGUUGCGGCUCAACCGUAAAAUUGCAAUUGAUACUGGCAGUCUUGAGUACAGGUGAGGUAGGCGGAAUUCGUGGUGUAGCGGUGAAAUGCUUAGAUAUCACGAAGAACCCCGAUUGCGAAGGCAGCUUACUAAACUGUGACUGACAUUGAUGCUCGAAAGUGUGGGUAUCAAACAGGAUUAGAUACCCCUGUAGUC